UACGGAGGGUGCAAGCGUUAUCCGGAUUCACUGGGUUUAAAGGGUGCGUAGGUGGGCAGUUAAGUCAGUGGUGAAAUCUCCGGGCUCAACCCGGAAACUGCCAUUGAUACUAUCUGUCUUGAAUAUCGUGGAGGUAAGCGGAAUAUGUCAUGUAGCGGUGAAAUGCUUAGAUAUGACAUAGAACACCAAUUGCGAAGGCAGCUUACUACCCGAAUAUUGACACUGAGGCACGAAGGCCAGGGGAGCAAACGGG
rnacentral:rRNA from 1 species